rnacentral:rRNA from 1 species
GACGAACGCUGGCGGCGUGCUUAACACAUGCAAGUCGAACGGAAAGCCCCUUUCGGGGGGACUCGAGUGGCGAACGGGUGAGUAACACGUGGGUGAUCUGCCCUGCACUUUGGGAUAAGCCUGGGAAACUGGGUCUAAUACCGAAUACACCUUGCUGGUCGCAUGGCCUGGUGGGGGAAAGCUUUUGCGGUGUGGGAUGGGCCCGCGGCCUAUCAGCUUGUUGGUGGGGUGAUGGCCUACCAAGGCGACGACGGGUAGCCGGCCUGAGAGGGUGUCCGGCCACACUGGGACUGAGAUACGGCCCAGACUCCUACGGGAGGCAGCAGUGGGGAAUAUUGCACAAUGGGCGCAAGCCUGAUGCAGCGACGCCGCGUGAGGGAUGACGGCCUUCGGGUUGUAAACCUCUUUCAGCAUCGACGAAGCGCAAGGACG